UAGAUCUACACCCUCACGCCGUUCGUCGCCGACGCCGUUGCUCGCCGCAUCUGUGAGACUCCAUCGCCAUCGCCAUCGCCUUAACAAGUCCCAAGUCCCAAGGCCCAAAUUGAAGCUGCUCUCUGCCUCUCCGGCCUCCGCCAGUCCGCCGCGCUCUACGUCUCCUGUCGACUGUGUCCUGCCGUGCUGGUUCAUCGCUGCCGAGUGUCGAAGACGAAGCACCAAGAUCUCACUAGUUCAUCGCUGGUUCAUCACUGCUCAUCUCUGGCUCACUUAGCCUGGAAAGAGCUGUUGCAAUUUGCUGUAAAAGGCUCCAGCCUCUGGGAUUGCAUUUUAAUGGUGGUAUUGAGGUCAUCUUUGCUGGGUCAGGUUA